UACGAAGGGGGCUAGCGUUGCUCGGAAUCACUGGGCGUAAAGCGCACGUAGGCGGAUUGCUAAGUCAGGGGUGAAAUCCUGGGGCUCAACUCCAGAACUGCCUUUGAUACUGGCGAUCUUGAGUCCGGGAGAGGUGAGUGGAACUGCGAGUGUAGAGGUGAAAUUCGUAGAUAUCUGGAGGAACACCGGUGGCGAAGGCGGCAUCCUGGACCGGUAUUGACGCUGAGGCGCGAAAGCCAGGGGAGCAAACGGG
rnacentral:rRNA from 1 species